GGGGAUAUAGCUCAGCGGUAGAGCGUUCAGCUGAAUAAAGAAAGGUCCCAGGUUCAAAUCCUGGUAUCCCCG